rnacentral:rRNA from 1 species
AUUGAACGCUAGCGGGAUGCUUUACACAUGCAAGUCGAACGCGUGGCGGACGGGUGAGUAAUAUAUCGGAACGUGCCCAGUAGCGGGGGAUAACUACUCGAAAGCGUGGCUAAUACCACCUACUAUUUGAGCGGCCGAUAGCGGAUUGGCUAGUUGGUGGGGUAACGGCUAACCAAGGCAACGAGCCGUAGGUGGUUUGAGAGGAAGACCGGCCACACGGGGACUGAGACACGGCCCAGACUCCUACGGGAGGAAGCAGGGGGGAAUUUUGGGCAAUGGGGGAAACCCUGAUCCAGCCAUCCCGCGUGUAUGAGAAGGCCUUCGGGUUGUAAAGUACUUUUGGCAGAGAAGCGGUAUCUGCAGAAUAAGCACCGGCUAAUUACGUGCCAGCAGCCGCGGUAAUAC